AGAGUUUGAUCAUGGCUCAGAACGUACGCUGGCGGCACGCCUAACACAUGCAAGUCGAACGAAGUAGCAAUACUUAGUGGCAGACGGGUGAGUAACAUGUAGGUAUCUGCCCUUUGGCCUGGAAUAACACGAGGAAACUUGUGCUAAUACCGGAUAAGUCUUUACGGAGAAAGCUUUAUGCACCAUUGGAUGAGCCUGCACUUGAUUAGUUUGUUGGUGGGGUAAUGGCCUACCAAGACUGUGAUCAAUAGCUGAUUUGAGAGGAUGAUCAGCCACAUUGGGACUGAGACACGGCCCAAACUCCUACGGGAGGCAGCAGUGGGGAAUCUUGCACAAUGGAGGAAACUCUGAUGCAGCGAUGCCGCGUGAGUGAAGAAGGCCUUUGGAUUGUAAAGCUCUUUCGUCGGGGAAGAAAA
rnacentral:rRNA from 1 species